UUCGUUCGUUGUCGAAGAUCGAAAAUCGAAUGUCAAUUUGGUAUUAUGAGCGGUGCAUGCCUGUCGAAAUUUUCGUUGUAUACCGAAUUUAGAGUCGAAUGCAAUUUUGCUUUCGAUUGUGUAGCGUAUUGUGGGAAAACUUGUUAAAAUGAAUAUGUUAAUAUAUGUUAAUAUUUUGGGAGGAAUUUACAACGGAGCUGAAUUGCUUGGGACCACCAGUUAGAACGGCAGCAAAAUGGAUUAAGGUAUGGGCUGAAAUACGUAGAGGAA